rnacentral:rRNA from 1 species
UACAGAGGUCCCAAGCGUUGUUCGGAUUCACUGGGCGUAAAGGGCGUGCAGGCGGUCUGCUAAGUCUAGGGUGAAAGCUCCCGGCUCAACUGGGAGAGGUCCUUGGAUACUGGCGGACUUGAGGGAGGUAGAGGAGAGUGGAAUUCCCGGUGUAGUGGUGAAAUGCGUAGAUAUCGGGAGGAACACCUGUGGCGAAAGCGGCUCACUGGACCACAACUGACGCUGAGGCGCGAAAGCUAGGGGAGCAAACAGG